GAUGAACGUUGGCGGCGUGCUUAACACAUGCAAGUCGAACGGAAAGGCCCAAGCUUGCUUGGGUACUCGAGUGGCGAACGGGUGAGUAACACGUGGGUGAUCUGCCCUGCACUUCGGGAUAAGCCUGGGAAACUGGGUCUAAUACCGGAUAGGACCACAUUUUGGAUGGUGUGGUGGAAAGUUUUUCGGUGUGGGAUGAGCUCGCGGCCUAUCAGCUUGUUGGUGGGGUAAUGGCCUACCAAGGCGUCGACGGGUAGCCGGCCUGAGAGGGUGUACGGCCACAUUGGGACUGAGAUACGGCCCAGACUCCUACGGGAGGCAGCAGUGGGGAAUAUUGCACAAUGGGCGCAAGCCUGAUGCAGCGACGCCGCGUGGGGGAUGACGGCCUUCGGGUUGUAAACUCCUUUCGCUAGGGACGAAGCGCAAGUGACGGUACCUGGAGAAGAAGCACCGGCUAACUACGUG
rnacentral:rRNA from 1 species